rnacentral:ncRNA from 1 species
UUAAACAUGUUGAUGAGACGAGUAGAGCAGGAAAUAAUACAGAGAGAGAUACAAAUGCUGGAAGUAUCUUAUUAGGAACUGUUUGAAAACUACCUCGGAGUGACCCCAAUCCGGUCCGUUGGUAACGUUAUAACCAAAUGAAGUAGGUUUUGUAAGCGAUAAGAUACAAAACAAAAAGGGUGGAACCGCGAGAAAAUAGUAGCUCGUCCCUUUC